rnacentral:rRNA from 1 species
GACGAACGCCGGCGGCGUGCUUAACACAUGCAAGUCGAACGGAAAGGCCCUGCUUUUGUGGGGUGCUCGAGUGGCGAACGGGUGAGUAACACGUGAGUAACCUGCCCUUGACUUUGGGAUAACUUCAGGAAACUGGGGCUAAUACCGGAUAGGAGCUCCUGCUGCAUGGUGGGGGUUGGAAAGUUUCGGCGGUUGGGGAUGGACUCGCGGCUUAUCAGCUUGUUGGUGGGGUAGUGGCUUACCAAGGCUUUGACGGGUAGCCGGCCUGAGAGGGUGACCGGCCACAUUGGGACUGAGAUACGGCCCAGACUCCUACGGGAGGCAGCAGUGGGGAAUAUUGCACAAUGGGCGGAGGCCUGAUGCAGCAACGCCGCGUGCGGGAUGACGGCCUUCGGGUUGUAAACCGCUUUCGCCUGUGACGAAGCGUGAGUGACGGUAAUGGGUAAAGAAGCACCGGCUAACUACGUG